rnacentral:rRNA from 1 species
GGUUAAGCGACUAAGCGUACACGGUGGAUGCCCUGGCAGUCAGAGGCGAUGAAGGACGUGCUAAUCUGCGAUAAGCGUCGGUAAGGUGAUAUGAACCGUUAUAACCGGCGAUUUCCGAAUGGGGAAACCCAGUGUGUUUCGACACACUAUCAUUAACUGAAUCCAUAGGUUAAUGAGGCGAACCGGGGGAACUGAAACAUCUAAGUACCCCGAGGAAAAGAAAUCAACCGAGAUUCCCCCAGUAGCGGCGAGCGAACGGGGAGCAGCCCAGAGCCUGAAUCAGUGUGUGUGUUAGUGGAAGCGUCUGGAAAGGCGCGCGAUACAGGGUGACAGCCCCGUACACAAAAAUGCACAUGCUGUGAGCUCGAUGAGUAGGGCGGGACACGUGGUAUCCUGUCUGAAUAUGGGGGGACCAUCCUCCAAGGCUAAAUACUCCUGACUGACCGAUAGUGAACCAGUACCGUGAGGGAAAGGCGAAAAGAACCCCGGCGAGGGGAGUGAAAAAGAACCUGAAACCGUGUACGUACAAGCAGUGGGAGCACGCUUAGGCGUGUGACUGCGUACCUUUUGUAUAAUGGGUCAGCGACUUAUAUUCUGUAGCAAGGUUAACCGAAUAGGGGAGCCGAAGGGAAACCGAGUCUUAACUGGGCGUUAAGUUGCAGGGUAUAGACCCGAAACCCGGUGAUCUAGCCAUGGGCAGGUUGAAGGUUGGGUAACACUAACUGGAGGACCGAACCGACUAAUGUUGAAAAAUUAGCGGAUGACUUGUGGCUGGGGGUGAAAGGCCAAUCAAACCGGGAGAUAGCUGGUUCUCCCCGAAAGCUAUUUAGGUAGCGCCUCGUGAAUUCAUCUCCGGGGGUAGAGCACUGUUUCGGCAAGGGGGUCAUCCCGACUUACCAACCCGAUGCAAACUGCGAAUACCGGAGAAUGUUAUCACGGGAGACACACGGCGGGUGCUAACGUCCGUCGUGAAGAGGGAAACAACCCAGACCGCCAGCUAAGGUCCCAAAGUCAUGGUUAAGUGGGAAACGAUGUGGGAAGGCCCAGACAGCCAGGAUGUUGGCUUAGAAGCAGCCAUCAUUUAAAGAAAGCGUAAUAGCUCACUGGUCGAGUCGGCCUGCGCGGAAGAUGUAACGGGGCUAAACCAUGCACCGAAGCUGCGGCAGCGACGCUUAUGCGUUGUUGGGUAGGGGAGCGUUCUGUAAGCCUGUGAAGGUGUGCUGUGAGGCAUGCUGGAGGUAUCAGAAGUGCGAAUGCUGACAUAAGUAACGAUAAAGCGGGUGAAAAGCCCGCUCGCCGGAAGACCAAGGGUUCCUGUCCAACGUUAAUCGGGGCAGGGUGAGUCGACCCCUAAGGCGAGGCCGAAAGGCGUAGUCGAUGGGAAACAGGUUAAUAUUCCUGUACUUGGUGUUACUGCGAAGGGGGGACGGAGAAGGCUAUGUUGGCCGGGCGACGGUUGUCCCGGUUUAAGCGUGUAGGCUGGUUUUCCAGGCAAAUCCGGAAAAUCAAGGCUGAGGCGUGAUGACGAGGCACUACGGUGCUGAAGCAACAAAUGCCCUGCUUCCAGGAAAAGCCUCUAAGCAUCAGGUAACAUCAAAUCGUACCCCAAACCGACACAGGUGGUCAGGUAGAGAAUACCAAGGCGCUUGAGAGAACUCGGGUGAAGGAACUAGGCAAAAUGGUGCCGUAACUUCGGGAGAAGGCACGCUGAUAUGUAGGUGAAGUCCCUCGCGGAUGGAGCUGAAAUCAGUCGAAGAUACCAGCUGGCUGCAACUGUUUAUUAAAAACACAGCACUGUGCAAACACGAAAGUGGACGUAUACGGUGUGACGCCUGCCCGGUGCCGGAAGGUUAAUUGAUGGGGUCAGCGCAAGCGAAGCUCUUGAUCGAAGCCCCGGUAAACGGCGGCCGUAACUAUAACGGUCCUAAGGUAGCGAAAUUCCUUGUCGGGUAAGUUCCGACCUGCACGAAUGGCGUAAUGAUGGCCAGGCUGUCUCCACCCGAGACUCAGUGAAAUUGAACUCGCUGUGAAGAUGCAGUGUACCCGCGGCAAGACGGAAAGACCCCGUGAACCUUUACUAUAGCUUGACACUGAACAUUGAGCCUUGAUGUGUAGGAUAGGUGGGAGGCUUGGAAGUGUGGACGCCAGUCUGCAUGGAGCCGACCUUGAAAUACCACCCUUUAAUGUUUGAUGUUCUAACGUUGACCCGUAAUCCGGGUUGCGGACAGUGUCUGGUGGGUAGUUUGACUGGGGCGGUCUCCUCCUAAAGAGUAACGGAGGAGCACGAAGGUUGGCUAAUCCUGGUCGGACAUCAGGAGGUUAGUGCAAUGGCAUAAGCCAGCUUGACUGCGAGCGUGACGGCGCGAGCAGGUGCGAAAGCAGGUCAUAGUGAUCCGGUGGUUCUGAAUGGAAGGGCCAUCGCUCAACGGAUAAAAGGUACUCCGGGGAUAACAGGCUGAUACCGCCCAAGAGUUCAUAUCGACGGCGGUGUUUGGCACCUCGAUGUCGGCUCAUCACAUCCUGGGGCUGAAGUAGGUCCCAAGGGUAUGGCUGUUCGCCAUUUAAAGUGGUACGCGAGCUGGGUUUAGAACGUCGUGAGACAGUUCGGUCCCUAUCUGCCGUGGGCGCUGGAGAACUGAGGGGGGCUGCUCCUAGUACGAGAGGACCGGAGUGGACGCAUCACUGGUGUUCGGGUUGUCAUGCCAAUGGCAUUGCCCGGUAGCUAAAUGCGGAAGAGAUAAGUGCUGAAAGCAUCUAAGCACGAAACUUGCCCCGAGAUGAGUUCUCCCUGACUCCUUGAGAGUCCUGAAGGAACGUUGAAGACGACGACGUUGAUAGGCCGGGUGUGUAAGCGCAGCGAUGCGUUGAGCUAACCGGUACUAAUGAACCGUGAGGCUUAACCUU